rnacentral:tRNA from 1 species
CCCCUGAUGGUCUAGUUGGAUAUGGCGCUCGGCUGUGAUAUUAUUUAAAGAAAAUAUCUUUGUACCCGAGAGGUCCCCGGAUAUCCCGGGUCGGGAGA